AGGGAAUAGAUACCCUGGUAGUCCAUGCUGUAAACGAUGGAUGCUAGCUGUGAUGCGUAUCGACCCGCGUCGUAGCGAAGCUAACGCGUUAAGCAUCCCGCCUGUGGAGUACGGCCGCAAGGCUAAAACAUAAAGGAAUUGACGGGGACCCGCACAAGCGGUGGAGCGUGUUGUUUAAUUCGAUGGUAAGCGAAGAACCUUACCCAGGUUUGACAUCCUUGGAAGUUCUGCGAAAGCAGAGUGUGCCUUCGGGAACCAAGUGACAGGUGAUGCAUGGCCGUCUUCAGCUCGUGUCGUGAGACGUUAGGUUAAGUCCUUCAACGAGCGCAACCCUUAUAGUUAGUUGUAUUUUCUAGCUAGACUGCCCUGGUAACAGGGAGGAAGGAGGGGACGAUGUCAGGUCAGUAUCUCCCUUAUAUCUGGGGCUACAAACACGCUACAAUGGCCGGUACGAAAGGGAA
rnacentral:rRNA from 1 species